AUGGGAAUCAGGCUCCUCUGUCAUGUGGCCUUUUGUUUCCUGGCUGUAGGCCUCGUAGAUGUGAAAGUAACCCAGAGCUCGAGAUAUCUAGUCAAAAGGAUGGGAGAGAAAGUUUUUCUGGAAUGUGUCCAGGAUAUGGACCAUGAAAACAUGUUCUGGUAUCGACAAGACCCAGGUCUGGGGCUACGGCUGAUCUAUUUCUCAUCUGAUGUUAAAAUGAAAGAAAAAGGAGAUAUUCCUGAGGGGUACAGUGUCUCUAGAGAGAAGAAGGAGCGCUUCUCCCUGAUUCUGGAGUCCGCCAGCACCAACCAGACAUCUAUGUACCUCUGUGCCAGCAGUUUAUCCUACGAGCAGUACUUCGGGCCGGGCACCAGGCUCACGGUCACAGAGGACCUGAAAAACGUGUUCCCACCCGAGGUCGCUGUGUUUGAGCCAUCAGAAGCAGAGAUCUCCCACACCCAAAAGGCCACACUGGUGUGCCUGGCCACAGGCUUCUACCCCGACCACGUGGAGCUGAGCUGGUGGGUGAACGGGAAGGAGGUGCACAGUGGGGUCAGCACGGACCCGCAGCCCCUCAAGGAGCAGCCCGCCCUCAACGACUCCAGAUACUGCCUGAGCAGCCGCCUGAGGGUCUCGGCCACCUUCUGGCAGAACCCCCGCAACCACUUCCGCUGUCAAGUCCAGUUCUACGGGCUCUCGGAGAAUGACGAGUGGACCCAGGAUAGGGCCAAACCCGUCACCCAGAUCGUCAGCGCCGAGGCCUGGGGUAGAGCAGACUGUGGCUUCACCUCCGAGUCUUACCAGCAAGGGGUCCUGUCUGCCACCAUCCUCUAUGAGAUCUUGCUAGGGAAGGCCACCUUGUAUGCCGUGCUGGUCAGUGCCCUCGUGCUGAUGGCCAUGGUCAAGAGAAAGGAUUCCAGAGGCUAGCUCCAAAACCAUCCCGGGUCAUUGUUCAUCCACACCCAGGAUUCUCCUGUACCUGCUUCCAAUCUGUGUUCCUAAAAGUGAUUCUCACUCUGCUUCUCAUCUCCUACUUACAUGAAUACUUCCCUCUUUUUUCUAUUUCCCUGAAGAUUGAGCUCCCAACCCCCAAGUAUGAAAUAGGCUAAACCAAUAAAAAAUGGCGUGUUGGGCCUGGUUGCA